rnacentral:rRNA from 1 species
AACGAACGCUGGCGGCAGGCUUAACACAUGCAAGUCGAACGGGUGUAGCAAUACAUCAGUGGCAGACGGGUGAGUAACACGUGGGAACCUUCCUAGGGGUACGGAACAACUCAGGGAAACUUGAGCUAAUACCGUAUACGUCCGUGAGGAGAAAGAUUUAUCGCCCUUAGACGGGCCCGCGUCGGAUUAGGUAGUGGGUGGGGUAACGGCCUACCAAGCCUACGAUCCGUAGCUGAUCUUAGAGGAUGAUCAGCCACACUGGGACUGAGACACGGCCCAGACUCCUACGGGAGGCAGCAGUGGGGAAUCUUGGACAAUGGGCGCAAGCCUGAUCCAGCCAUGCCGCGUGAGUGAAGAAGGCCUUAGGGUUGUAAAGCUCUUUUACCAGGGACGAUAAUGACGGUACCUGGAGAAUAAGCCCCGGCAAACUUCGUGCCAGCCGCCGCUGUAA